rnacentral:lncRNA from 1 species
UUCUCCCUUUGCAAAAGGACGCCCUCUUCCUCUCCUCUUGGAUUUGGAGUCCCUUCUCGGACUCCCCCAGCAAUGGCCUGAGCGGCAGUAAUAACAGCCGGCGAGGUCGCGGCCGGCGGUGAGGCGGCAAUCGCUGCGGCCAUGCAGGGCAACUUAGUAACUUUGGCAGCUCACUAUCUCUUUGCUAAGGUGGCUAUGGAAUUAUCUAAGCUCUAGAGUUUGAGGUCCCUUCUAUAUAUAGUAUAAACAUGCAUCCAUGGGGAGAUAUCCUUUAUUUUUCUUUCAUAUAUAAUUGUGUUAUUUUCUGCAUGAAAGCUUUUGAGAAUAGCCUUUUUAUGACGGAGUCCUUUUCAUGGGCUUUCUCUGAAUGGAAGACAUGUUGCCUCUCUUAGGGCUUAGCUUUUGUGGCCUAACUUCAACUCUUGUCAUUGUUCAGCCAAGAUAAAGUCUAAAACACAUCUCCGUAUCCCAACGCCACCCCACCCCAACGUACACACAACAAACAACCUGUCUCAACCUGGUGAUGGAAAGUACAUUGAAAGUUGUGUGGAAUUUGAUUUGAUCCACGAUAUGUAUUUUUCAUUCUUGAUGCAUAUUGUGUGGAAUUUGAUUCUAUCAUUGAAAAUUGUGUGAAAUUUGAUUCUGUCAUAUUAUGUGGAAUUUGAUUCGGUACAAUAUGUAUUUUUCAUUCUUGAUGGAUAUUAUGUGAGAUUUNNN